rnacentral:ncRNA from 1 species
ACUAUUUUAGUGUAAAAGGGAAUGAGGUGUAAUUCCUCAACUUUACCAGAAGCUGUAAAGUCCGUAUUUUUUUGGAAAUACAAGUGCCACUGUUUUAAUUAAUGGGAAGGCCAUACCAAAAUGGACUAAGUCAGAAGACCUGCUAGACAAAUU